UCCCGGUCCCGUAGCAGGUCGCGCUCUCGGGGAAGGUCGUACUGCGGAAGGGCGUACGCGAUCGCGCGGGGACAGCGCUACUACGGCUUUGGUCGCACAGUGUACCCGGAGGAGCACAGCAGAUGGAGGGACAGAUCCAGGACGAGGUCGCGGAGCAGAACCCCCUUUCGCUUAAGUGAAAAAGAUCGAAUGGAGCUGUUAGAAAUAGCAAAAACCAAUGCAGCGAAAGCUCUAGGAACAACCAACAUUGACUUGCCAGCUAGUCUCAGAACUGUUCCUUCAGCCAAAGAAACAAGCCGUGGAAUAGGUGUAUCAAGUAAUGGUGCAAAGCCUGAAGUAAGUAUUCUAGGUUUGUCGGAACAAAACUUUCAGAAAGCCAACUGUCAAAUCUGAUUAGCCACUUAUAUCUUAGACUAUACUUUUUGGGAAGUCUAGAGAUGUAUAUAAUGUGCUAAAUUCAAAGUAGCAAAUCUGAAGAUAGGCAAUGUCAAACCCAUGAAAAUGGGAGAUUAAUGAGCUUUAUUUGGCCGUGCAUGGUGCCUCAUGCCUGUAAUGAGGCAGAUGGCUUGAGUCCAGGAGUUCAAGACUAGCCUGGGCAAUGUGGCAAAACCGCGUGUUUACAAAAAAUACAAAAAUUAGCCAGGCAUGGUGGUGCAUGCCUGUAGUCCCAGCUGUUUGGGAGGCUGAGGCAGGAGGAUCUUUGAGCCUAGGAUGCUAAGGUUGCAGUGAGCCAAGAUGGCACCAUUGCACUCUAGCCUGGGCAGCAGAGCGAGACCCUGUCUCAAAAAAUACAUUUAUUUUUUUCAUUUUCAGUUAACAGUGUACUCUUAUAACACCGUUAUUAGCUGGUACUUUGGUGAUUUCUAUUACUAGUUUUUCUAAGCUAUUUACAGAGUGUUUGUAGCUUUCAUUUGCAGCAUUAUGUUCCCACAAAUUCUGUACUCAGCAUAUACAGUAUAGUUUAUCUGCUCUAUUUCUGUCUUAUAGAAAUCAUGAAUGUGGUCUGCAGACAUUGAUGAAGAAAAUCUGUUGGUAAUUGAUACAUGGGCUAAAGCAUCAGAGGUUUAAUUUGAAGUUUAUGUUCACACACUGAAAACUUAGUUUUUUUGUUGGUAGAUCCAUGUGCAUGCUAGAAUUUGGGACAGGCACUAUUUGCAUAAAGUAUUAAAGUCAAUUUUUAAACUAAGCAAAGGUACACGUUGUAACGGUGGGGCAUCUGUGAAAAAGAUGUCCCUUUCAUAAUAUAUGCAAUAUAUUCCAGAUGUUUUGAGAGAUUACAGAAGAGGAGGCCUGCUUCACUUGCAGAUAACUGUCGGAAAAGGUAACAGAAGAUGGAACUCGAAAUCCCAAUGAAAAACCUACCCAGCAAAGAAGCAUAGCUUUUAGCUCUAAUAAUUCUGUAGCAAAGCCAAUACAAAAAUCAGCUAAAGCUGCCACAGAAGAGGCAUCUUCAAGAUCACCAAAAAUAGAUCAGAAAAAAAGUCCAUAUGGACUGUGGAUACCUAUCUAAAAGAAGAAAACUGAUGGCUAAGUUUGCAUGAAAACUGCACUUUAUUGCAAGUUAGUGUUUCUAGCAUUAUCCCAUCCCUUUGAGCCAUUCAGGGGUACUUGUGCAUUUAAAAACCAACACAAAAAGAUGUAAAUACUUAACACUCAAAUAUUAACAUUUUAGGUUUCUCUUGCAGAUAUGAGAGAUAGCACAGAUGGACCAAAGGUUAUGCACAGGUGGGAGUCUUUUGUAUAUAGUUGUAAAUAUUGUCUUGGUUAUGUAAAAAUGAAAUUUUUUAGACACAGUAAUUGAACUGUAUUCCUGUUUUGUAU
rnacentral:lncRNA from 1 species